GUUAGGGAAGCGUGUGAGCCAUGUGCCAAGAAAAGCCGCUAUUGUGAUACACAUACCCGUACCGUAAACCGACACAGGUGGAUGAGGAGAGAAUCCUAAGGCCGACGGAAGAAGCAUUGUUAAGGAACUCGGCAAAAUGACCCCGUAACUUCGGGAGAAGGGGUGCCCUGUGAAAGCAGGGCCGCAGAGAAUAGGCUCAAGCAACUGUUUAGCAAAAACACAGGUCUAUGCGAAACCGAAAGGUGAGGUAUAUGGGCUGACGCCUGCCCGGUGCUGGAAGGUUAAGAGGAGAAGUCAGGCAACGAAGCUUCGAAUUUAAGCCCCAGUAAACGGCGGCCGUAACGAUAACGGUCCUAAGGUAGCGAAAUUCCUUGUCGGGUAAGUUCCGACCCGCACGAAAGGCGUAAUGAUUUGAGCACUGUCUCGACAAUGCAUCCGGUGAAAUUGAAGUACCAGUGAAGAUGCUGGUUACCUGCGCCAGGACGGAAAGACCCCAUGGAGCUUUACUCCAGCUUGAUACUGGGAUUCGAUACUGUAUGUACAGGAUAGGUGGGAGACGUUGAGCAUAGAACGCCAGUUUUAUGUGAGUCGCUGUUGGGAUACCACCCUUGCAGUAUUGGAUUUCUAACCUGCACCCAUGACCUGGGUGGGGGACAAUGUCUGGCGGGGAGUUUGACUGGGGCGGUCGCCUCCGAAAGGGUAUCGGAGGCGCUCAAAGGUCCCCUCAGAAUGGUUGGAAACCAUUCGAAGAGUGCAAAGGCAGAAGGGAGCUUGACUGUGACACCGACGGGUGGAACAGGUACGAAAGUAGGACUUAGUGAUCCGGUGGUAUAAAGUGGGAUUGCCAUCGCUCAACGGAUAAAAGCUACCCUGGGAUAACAGGCUUAUCACUCCCAAGAGUUCACAUCGACGGAGUGGUUUGGCACCCGAUGUCGGCUCAUCGCAUCCUGGGCUGUAGCAGGUCCCAAGGGUUGGGCUGUUCGCCCAUUAAAGCGGUACGCGAGCUGGGUUCAGAACGUCGUGAGACAGUUCGGUCCCUAUCCGGCGCAGGCGGAGGAUAUUUGAGAGGAGCUGUCCUUAGUACGAGAGGACCGGGAUGGACGGACCACUGGUGUACCUGUUGGCUAUCAGAGCCAUGGCAGAGUAGCCAAGUCCGGCAGGGAUAAACGCUGAAGGCAUCUAAGCGUGAAGCCCCCCUCAAGAUGAGAUAUCCCUCAGAAAUGAGUAAGACCCCUUGAAGACUACGAGGUAGAUAGGAAUGAGGUGUAAGCACAGCAAUGUGUUCAGCUGACAUUUACUAGUCGGUCGAGGGCUUGAC
rnacentral:rRNA from 1 species